rnacentral:rRNA from 1 species
AACGAACGCUGGCGGCAUGCCUAACACAUGCAAGUCGAACGAAGGCUUCGGCCUUAGUGGCGCACGGGUGAGUAACGCGUGGGAAACUGCCUAUUGGUGGGGAAUAACGACGGGAAACUGUCGCUAAUACCGCAUAAGCACUUCGGGGGAAAGAUUUAUCGCCGAUAGAUGUGCCCGCGUCCGAUUAGCUAGUUGGUGAGGUAAUGGCUCACCAAGGCGACGAUCGGUAGCUGGUCUGAGAGGAUGAUCAGCCACACUGGGACUGAGACACGGCUCAGACUCCUACGGGAGGCAGCAGUGGGGAAUAUUGGACAAUGGGCGAAAGCCUGAUCCAGCAAUGCCGCGUGAGUGAUGAAGGCCUUAGGGUUGUAAAGCUCUUUCGGGUGGGACGAUGAUGACGGUACCACCAGAAGAAGCCCCGGCUAACUUCGUGCCAGCAGCCGCCGUAA